rnacentral:rRNA from 1 species
CCCUUAGAUGUUCUGGGCAGCACGCGCGCUACAAUGGUCUUCGCAAACGGAUGCAUUCUCGAAGGAGAAUGCCAAUCUUGGAAUCUAUGCCUUGGUCGGGACAGUUGCUUGCAAUUUUUCGACUCGAACCUGGAAUUCCUUGUAAUCGUGAUUCAUCACAUCACGAUGAAUACGUCCCUGCCCUUUGUACACACCGCCCGUCACUCCUACCGAUCGAAGAGUUAGGUGAAUUGUUUUGAUCGAUAAGAUUUGACUAUGGUCAACUCUCGUUGUGAAAUUCUGUGAAUCUGACUGUUUAGAGGAAGGAAAAGUCGUAACA